rnacentral:miRNA from 1 species
UAAAGAAUUUGUUCGGUUUUU